ensembl:snRNA U1 U1 spliceosomal RNA
AUGCUUACCUGGCAGGGGAGACACCAUGAUCACAAAGGUGGUUUUUCCAGGGCAAAGCUUGUCCAUUGCACUCCGAAUGUGCUGACCCUUGCAAUUUCCCCAAAUGUGGGAAACUCGACUGCAUACUUCGUGGUAGUGGGGGACUGUGUUUGCACCUUCCCCUC